rnacentral:tRNA from 1 species
GGGGGUGUCGUCCAAUUGGCUAGGACGGCGGUCUCCAAAACCGCUGAUCUAGGUUCGAGUCCUAGCACCCCCG